rnacentral:rRNA from 1 species
UACGGAGGGAGCUAGCGUUGUCCGGAUUUACUGGGCGUAAAGAGCGCGCAGGCGGUCGUUCAAGUCGCGUGUGAAAGCCCCCGGCUCAACUGGGGAGGGUCACGCGAUACUGAUCGACUCGAAGGCAGGAGAGGGUAGUGGAAUUCCCGGUGUAGUGGUGAAAUGCGUAGAUAUCGGGAGGAACACCAGUGGCGAAGGCGACUACCUGGCCUGUUCUUGACGCUGAGGCGCGAAAGCUAGGGGAGCAAACAGG